rnacentral:rRNA from 1 species
CCUACGGGUGGCAGCAGUGAGGAAUAUUGGUCAAUGGCCGGAAGGCUGAACCAGCCAUGCCGCGUGAAGGUCAGUGCCCUAUGGGCGUUACACUUCUUUUGUGCGGGAGCAAUAAUGGGCACGUGUGGCCAGACGAGAGUACCGUACGAAUAAGCAUCGGCUAACUCCGUGCAAGCAGCCGCGGUAAUAGUGGGGAGGCAAGCGUUAUCGGGAUUUAUUGGGUUUAAGGGGUGCGUAGGCUGUUAGGUAAGGAAGCGGUGAAAUGCCCCCGGUCAACGGGGUGAAGUGCCAUUGAUACUGCCUUGUUGGAAUGCGGAUGCCGUGGGAGGAAUGUGUGUUGUAGCGGUGAAAUGCAUAGAUAUCACACAGAACACCGAUUGCGAAGGCAUCUCACGAAUCCGCGAUUGACGCUGAUGCACGAAAGCGUGGGUAUCAAACAGGAUUAGAUACCCUGGUAGUC